UUGGAAGUCAGAAUUCCACCCAUAGUCUUCAAAGGGGAAGAGCACCCCCUCCUUAUUGCAAGGGGCCUGGAAGAGAGGGCUCUGCCCACGGACUGUAUUUCCUACAGUGCCUAUCAAGGUGGAGGAUGGGGCAUGACUUGCUUGUGGUACUCACCCUGAGAGCAGGCAGGAGGAAGACACAAAAGGACUGAUGAUCAUCUAGAAGGUUUAACCCUUUCAAGCCUGAAGACUUUGAGAGACACUAAUCUUGGGGUCCACUCCCAGACAUUCUGACUUAAAUGUCCUCAGGUGACAUCAUGUGAUUUUUAAAAACCUUCCAUGGAGAUUCUAAUGGUUCAUCAGUGCUGAGAUUACAAGGAGAGAAGGAUGACAGAAUAAAAAGAGCCAUGUCUUUA